rnacentral:rRNA from 1 species
UACGAAGGGGGCUAGCGUUGUUCGGAAUUACUGGGCGUAAAGCGCGCGCAGGCGGCUAUCCAAGUCAGUGGUGAAAGCCCGGAGCUCAACUCCGGAACUGCCAUUGAAACUGUUUAGCUUGAGUAUGAGAGAGGUGAGUGGAAUUCCCAGUGUAGAGGUGAAAUUCGUAGAUAUUGGGAAGAACACCGGUGGCGAAGGCGGCUCACUGGCUCAUUACUGACGCUGAGGCACGAAGGCGUGGGGAGCAAACAGG